AAAAAGCUCGUAGUUGGAUCUCAGUUCCAGACGGGUGGUCCGCCUAACGGUGGUUACUGCCUGUUCUGAACAGCCAGCCGGUUUCUCUUGAUGAUCUUCACCGGUUGUCUUGGGUGACCGGCAAGUUUACUUUGAAAAAAUUAGAGUGCUCAAAGCAGGCGCGACGCCUGAAUAAUGGUGCAUGGAAUAAUGGAAUAGGACCUCGGUUCUAUUUUGUUGGUUUUCGGAACACGAGGUAAUGAUUAAGAGGGACAGACGGGGGCAUUCGUAUUGCGACGCUAGAGGUGAAAUUCUUGGACCGUCGCAAGACGAACUACUGCGAAAGCAUUUGCCAAGAAUGUUUCCAUUAAUCAAGAACGAAAGUUAGAGGUUCGAAGGCGAUCAGAUACCGCCCUAGUUCUAACCAUAAACGAUGCCAGCCAGCGAUCCGGCUGUGUUCCUCAAAUGACACGCCGGGCAGCUUCCGGGAAACCAAAGCUUUUGGGUUCCGGGGGAAGUAUGGUUGCAAAGCUGAAACUUAAAGGAAUUGACGGAAGGGCACCACCAGGAAUGGAGCCUGCGGCUUAAUUUGACUCAACACGGGAAAACUUACCCGGCCCGGACACAGGAAGGAUUGACAGAUUAAGAGCUCUUUCUUGAUUCUGUGGGUGGUGGUGCAUGGCCGUUCUUAGUUGGUGGAGCGAUUUGUCUGGUUAAUUCCGAUAACGAACGAGACUCUAGCCUACUAAAUAGACGUUCCCAUCCGUGGAUGGGACGUUCUUCUUAGAGGGACAAGCGGCUUUUAGCCGCACGAGACAGAGCAAUAACAGGUCUGUGAUGCCCUUAGAUGUCCGGGGCCGCACGCGCGCUACAUUGAAGGAAUCAGCGUGUGCUUUCCCUGUCCGACAGGACUGGGUAACCCGUUGAACCUCCUUCGUGCUGGGGAUAGGGGCUUGUAAUUGUUCCCCUUGAACGAGGAAUUCCCAGUAAGCACGAGUCAUAAGCUCGUGUUGAUUACGUCCCUGCCCUUUGUACACACCGCCCGUCGCUACUACCGAUUGAAUGAUUUAGUGAGGUCUUCGGACUGGCGCUCGGAGCGGCCUAUCCGGUCACGCCGGCGUGCCGGAAAGAUGACCAAACUUGAUCAUUUAGAGG
rnacentral:rRNA from 1 species